GGAGACUACCUAAUUGCAAGGUGUAUCUAUCGACUUUGCCUUUAGUUACUUUCCGA
rnacentral:pre_miRNA from 1 species